AUAACCCCGGGAAACUGGGGAUAAUUCCGGAUAACACACAUAUGCUGGAAUGCUUUAUGCGUAAAAUGGAUUCGUCCGCCCAAGGAUGGGUCUGCGGCCUAUCAGGUAGUAGUGGGUGUAAUGUACCUACUAGCCAACAACGGGUACGGGUUGUGAGAGCAAGAGCCCGGAGAUGGAUUCUGAGACAUGAAUCCAGGCCCUACGGGGCGCAGCAGGCGCGAAAACUUUACAAUGCGGGAAACCGUGAUAAGGGGACACCGAGUGCCAGCAUCAUAUGCUGGCUGUCCGGGUGUGUAAAAUACACCUGUUAGCAAGGGCCGGGCAAGACCGGUGCCAGCCGCCGCGGUAACACCGGCGGCCCGAGUGGUGAUCGUGAUUAUUGGGUCUAAAGGGUCCGUAGCCGGUUUGGUCAGUCCUCCGGGAAAUCUGAUAGCUCAACUAUUAGGCUUUCGGGGGAUACUGCCAGGCUUGGAACCGGGAGAGGUAAGAGGUACUACAGGGGUAGGAGUGAAAUCUUGUAAUCCCUGUGGGACCACCUGUGGCGAAGGCGUCUUACCAGAACGGGUUCGACGGUGAGGGACGAAAGCUGGGGGCACGAACCGGAUUAGAUACCCGGGUAGUCCCAGCCGUAAACGAUGCUCGCUAGGUGUCAGGCAUGGCGCGACCGUGUCUGGUGCCGCAGGGAAGCCGUGAAGCGA
rnacentral:rRNA from 1 species